AGAGUUUGAUCCUGGCUCAGGAUAAACGCUAGCGGCAGGCCUAACACAUGCAAGUCGAGGGGCAGCAGGGAAGUAGCUUGCUACUUCUGCUGGCGACCGGCGCACGGGUGCGUAACGCGUAUGCAACCUACCUUUAACAGGGGGAUAAUCCGAAGAAAUUUGGUCUAAUACCCCAUAAUAUUGAUUAAGGCAUCUUGAUCAGUUGAAAGUUCCGACGGUUAAAGAUGGGCAUGCGUUGUAUUAGCUAGUUGGUGAGGUAACGGCUCACCAAGGCUACGAUACAUAGGGGGACUGAGAGGUUUUCCCCCCACACUGGUACUGAGACACGGACCAGACUCCUACGGGAGGCAGCAGUGAGGAAUAUUGGUCAAUGGACGCAAGUCUGAACCAGCCAUGCCGCGUGCAGGAUGAAUGUGCUAUGCAUUGUAAACUGCUUUUGUACGAGGGUAAAAACAGGUACGUGUACCUGGUUGAAAGUAUCGUACGAAUAAGGGUCGGCUAACUCCGUGCCAGCAGCCGCGGUAAUACGGAGGACCCGAGCGUUAUCCGGAUUUAUUGGGUUUAAAGGGUGCGUAGGCGGAUUGGUAAGUUAGAGGUGAAAGCUCAGCGCUUAACGUUGAAACUGCCUCUGAUACUGUCGGUCUAGAGUAUAGUUGCGGAAGGCGGAAUGUGUGGUGUAGCGGUGAAAUGCUUAGAUAUCACACAGAACACCGAUUGCGAAGGCAGCUUUCCAAGCUAUUACUGACGCUGAGGCACGAAAGCGUGGGGAGCGAACAGGAUUAGAUACCCUGGUAGUCCACGCCGUAAACGAUGAUAACUCGUUGCAGGCGAUACACAGUCUGUGACUUAGCGAAAGCGUUAAGUUAUCCACCUGGGGAGUACGUUCGCAAGAAUGAAACUCAAAGGAAUUGACG
rnacentral:rRNA from 1 species